rnacentral:lncRNA from 1 species
AUCUCUUGUCAAUGACUUGUCAUUUUUAUUGAUUUUGCAUUUGAGGUUUACAACACCUAUCCUCAGGCAAGAGAAUAAGAAAUUUUUCCCUGUAUAGACAUACACUUACCUCAACACUCUGUUUUUUUAUUGUUUUGUGAGACAUUCUUGCCAUCAUGGACAGCAUGAAUUUUUCGAUAUUUGGAGUUGGGCCUAUAAGGUUGUGAUAGGGAAAUCUUUGCCUUUUUAUCUUGCUAUGGUAAUUAAACAACUAAAAUGAUUCGAUCCUACACCAAAAAGGGUAUUAUGAUAAUUCUGUCUUCACCAGGCUGCUAAAAAUUACAUAUUGGAGGCUGGCAAAUUCUUUCAUGUUGUUUGAUGGUUGACUGGACUUUCCUCCUUAGACGUCAUGGGAAAUUUAUCGUAGAAUUGAAAUCAAUAAAUUUAUUAAUUUUCUUGUAAACUAUAUAUGUUGCCAACCAGUUCAAAAUUCAGGCCUUCCUUUUUGUUUAUAAAAUUUUGCCUCUAAAUGUACUUUAUACUUAUCUGAUUACUUUUAUUACAGGGUGAAGUUGAUUGCCCAUUUUACCUACAAACUGCCUGGUUAGUACAUUGUGUAACAACUGGAGCACAUUUUAGAAGAGAGAAAUAGUGAGAUGUCUGAUUGCUUUGAAAUGCGUUGUUUAAUUGAUCAGCUGCAAGCAUGGUACCAUAUGUCACUACAAUCAUCCUAAAAGAAAUGGUAAAUGGGUGUGUUCAUCAUGUUUUGACAUUGUUCAGUUGACCUAAUGUUUCAAUUAUUAAACUUUCUUUUCCAGUAAUCAACCCCUCUUGCAACUGCUAUCGCACCUGUUAUAGAUUCUUCUCCUACACAUUUUAGCUUUGGAGAUGUUACUCCAGCAACCUCCAUCCUUCCAACUUUUGAUUCUAGGGUAACUUAGACGUCAGUAAUUGUUUUUAUGCUUUCUUCUGGUUCACAACAUCCUUAUGAUGCAUGAAAUUAAUUAAUUGAGAUUGUCGAGUGUCUAAUAUUUUGCACACUAUAGUUUAUCUUGAAUUUUUUUAAGUAAGUAUUCUUUGAUUUUGUGGUAAUUUUCUCUUUUAGUUUGUGGGAUUUUAUCUAGAUAAGAAAAUGUUGUUGAAAUUAUUGAGAAUUUUUCGUUUAGAUUUUAUUUGAGUUAUGAGGAAAUGGUGAUGAACUACUUGUAGGCUUCAUUAUUUUUCCAUGGCUUAUAUGAACAUUUAGUGUGUUUAAGCCAUAUUAUCCUGAAAUAAUGUGUUUUUGAA